GAAAUGACGACAACGGAAGAAGCUCCCAAAUCGCCGCUUUUCGAGGCAAUCGACAAAAAUGACACUGAAGCAGCGCUGGCACUGCUGAAAACGAAGGAACAAGCCGCUCAACGGGAUCCCAGUGGAAUGAGUGUGCUGGCAGCUGCCGCGUAUAGGUAUGCACCUUUAAAGCGGCGACGGUUACUGUAUCCUCGCAGAUUGUUUAAAGGUACAUACCGUAAUCCGUUGAAUUUCAGAGGAAAUCUUACGUUGGUCGAGAAAGCGAUUGAGCUGAAAUGUGAUGUGAAUGAUAAAACCGAUGGAACUCUGUACACUCCACUCAUGUUUGCCGCCUUAUCAG
rnacentral:sRNA from 1 species